rnacentral:tRNA from 1 species
GCCUGGGUGGCUCAGUGAGUUGAGCAUCUGACUGUAGCUCAGAUCAUCGUCUCAUGGUUCAUGAGUUCGAUCCCCACAUCGGGCU